AUGCAGGGCAAACUAUCUUCAAGUAGGAGUAAAUUACUCCUUAAAAAAAAGACUCCUAGAUAGUGCUCCUUUUAAGUCUAGUGACUUGU
rnacentral:pre_miRNA from 1 species